ACUCCUGCGGGAGGCAGCAGUGGGGAAUUUUGGACAAUGGGCGAAAGCCUGAUCCAGCCAUGCCGCGUGCAGGAUGAAGGCCUUCGGGUUGUAAACUGCUUUUGUACGGAACGAAACGGCCCUUUCUAAUAAAGAGGGCUAAUGACGGUACCGUAAGAAUAAGCACCGGCUAACUACGUGCCAGCAGCCGCGGUAAUACGUAGGGUGCAAGCGUUAAUCGGAAUUACUGGGCGUAAAGCGUGCGCAGGCGGUUAUGUAAGACAGUUGUGAAAUCCCCGGGCUCAACCUGGGAACUGCAUCUGUGACUGCAUAGCUAGAGUACGGUAGAGGGGGAUGGAAUUCCGCGUGUAGCAGUGAAAUGCGUAGAUAUGCGGAGGAACACCGAUGGCGAAGGCAAUCCCCUGGACCCGUACUGACGCUCAUGCACGAAAGCGUGGGGAGCAAACAGGAUUAGAAACCCGGGUAGUCCC
rnacentral:rRNA from 1 species